UACAGAGGGUGCAAGCGUUAAUCGGAAUUACUGGGCGUAAAGCGUGCGUAGACGGUCAUGUAAGUCGGGUGUGAAAGCCCCGGGCUCAACCUGGGAAUGGCAUUGGUGACUGGCAGGCUUUGAGUGUGGCAGAGGGAGGUAGAAUUCCACGUGUAGCAGUGAAAUGCGUAGAGAUGUGGAGGAAUACCGAUGGCGAAGGCAGCCUCCUGGGCCAACACUGACGCUCAUGCACGAAAGCGUGGGGAGCAAACAGG
rnacentral:rRNA from 1 species